AAUAGAUGUGGUCGGAUGUACGUUGUUUUGGUAAAAAGCCAAUUUGUGAUUUAUUUAGGAUGUUGCGUCUUAUGAGGAAUGUCACUAUGCGGUUGUUUAUUAUAUUGCAGAAAAGCUUUGCUAGGUUACCGCUAGAGGCUGCCAUUUUUUCGGGAAUCCCACGGGUCACGGGAAUCCCGUGAGAUGGGAAACAAAAUCGCUACGAAUCACAUGAUUGGGACGGGACAGGAAAAAAUGUCAUCGGGAGUGGGCGGGACCGGGAAUAGUAAUGAUACCCAACUUUAUACACAAAUAUACCUUUUAUAUAAAUAAACUAUGAACUGUAUAUUUUAAUUCUGAACUCAAUUCUAGUUGCCCUGUCUCGCUCUCCUCCUGUUUGCUUUGGUGUGGCUGCGUGAAUGACGCAGUCCGUGACGGACAGAUAGUAACGGCUGGUCUAUGUGCAGGGGCGGCGCCAGAGAAUUAAUUUGAACGCAGGUGCUGAGGGGGUGCUAGAUCAAUGACAAGGGGAGCUGGGCAAUUAAUAGGAAAUAUGACUAAAACAUGUUGUUGUUGUUAUUAUUAUUUUUUUGUAUGAAUAAUAAAAUCGCUAUAUAGGUGCAUUUCAAAUGUUUAUGAGGAGUGGGCAGGGCCGUUUCUAGCCAAUUUGACGCCCUAGGUGAAAUCCCUAUUGCCCCCCCCCCAAUUACACACACACACACACACACAUAUAUAUAUUAUUAUUAUUUUUUUUUUGAUGAGCUCUCCAAAUGCAAGCACGCAACAAUCAGGCAGCAAGUGAGAGCGCUCUGAUCCAAUGGCAUACAGGCAUCGUCAGAUUGACAGUACUCUAGCCCAAUGAUGUUGGGGGAUCCAGUGGGGGUGGCAGUCAUAUUUCAGGGUGACUGUGCCACUUUUUAUCACAACCCUGCUAAAAUGUAGUACCAGUACGUGCGCUCAUUGGCGCCCCUUCAGCUGGUGGCGCCCUAGGCUACCGCCUAGCUCGCCUGUGCCUAGAAACGGUACUGAGUGGGAGUAUUAUCGCGCUUAGUCUACUGGGUGCAUUCGCGCAAUAAUUUUAUUUAUUUAUUUUUCCUGAGGAAUGAGCUUAAAAUACUCCUGGCAUUUUUGGAUGUGCUUUCUGUCAUCUCAUGCAGUCUCCGUGAAUGGAGCACGUCACAACAAUGAACCAGUUCACAGACAUAAAUUUGCAGAAAUCUUGAAAACCUAUUAAAAAAAAAAAAAACUCUUCUCUGAUUAUGUAGUAGGUGCAUUAGGCUUGCUGCAGUGGUGUUGGCGGUGAUACCGGUGUUAAGCACCGUGCCUCACCGUCAUUUUGAUUUUUUUAAUAGUAAUAAAAAUACUUUAGUUCAGUUUAGAGAACAGACACAACAAUUAGAACUAAACGCGGCUGCUUCAACGCAACACACCGAGCGAACGAUAGUCGCGCAUCACAGACCAGUCCUGAAAUGGGAGGCUUUGUCCCGCGUCCCGCGAGUCAUAAGCAGUGUCCCGCAUUUCAAUUUUUGUCUGUUUUUUUUUUUUCUUCCUUUUUAUUAGUAUUGUUUCUGUAACAUUUUUCAUAUUCCUUUAAAUUACAAUUCCAGAAUAAAAAAAAUAUAUAAAUAAAUAAAUUAGAAAACACUGAACAUGGGCAGUGCACGCAGCCGUCUGCGUACGUGAUGAUAGCGCCAGAGCGGGAAAACACCGAGAGAGAGAAAAAAGCCGGCAACAGAAAAAAAUGGAUCUAUCGGGAGCUCCAGAGAAGAAAAAGCGACUUUGUUCUUAUAAUAAAGAAUGGGAGAAAAAAUACACAUGGUUAAAACCAGUUACAGAUGACCCUAAAAAAGGAGAGUGCUGUGUAUCCCAUUACCUUCCGAGUCGAUUGGAUCGAGGGAUUCCAUGCUCUCAGCCGGGUCCAGGGAUUCCCCAUUCUGAUCUAGAUCUAUGGAUGUGGAUCAGGUGAUUCCCCACUCUGACCGGGAUCUAGGGAUGCCCCAUCCUGAAGUGGAUUCAGCGAUUCCUCACUUUUAGUGAAAUAUCUUGUACUGUGGAACCGCAUUUGAUCCGCAGAUCCAGAAUGGGCACCUGUCCUCUGGUCAUCCUGGCCACUUCUACCUGGAAAAUGACACACAGGUGAGGGCAAUACAGGUGAGGAUUGUUUCUCAGUGCUGGUCCAGGAAUCCCUCAACACUGAAUAUUUUGAGUGUAUUCCUCAUAAUGUAUUCCCAAUCAAGAUUAAUUCACCUAAAUUGUGUAUGUCAGAUAAGCUUGUUAGCGGACUCCAGGACCAUGAUUGAGAAGCACAAGUACAAGAGGGGCUUUUACACUGGGUAGCUAUAGGAACUAGGUUUCGGGAGAUGGAAUGUAGGCAUAUAAGUUGGAUGAUCGAAAAAAGAAAAAGGAGAGCUACAUAUCAUCGGGACUGAGAAAAGAACACAACACCGCAGACAAAGGUGACAGGUAAGUGUUAUAAACAUUAGCAUUUUUGUACAUUUAUAUCUUGUAACACUUUAAAAUACUGUGUAGUUGUUUUUUAUGGCAUGCAGUAAAUUUAGACCCUAUUCUGACCCUAAAAUCAUUCCCAGUUCCUGCUGGGCGCACAUGCCAAAAAGUAAGUGCCCGCCAAUACAGUAGUUCAAGGAAUUAUGAAAAUGUUCCUCCAGUGGAAAAUCCCCUUAUAGCUUACAGUUGCUUAUAGUAAGUAAAUCAGGAUAACUGCUACAUAUUCAAUUAUGCUUUUAAAGUCACUCACUUUUUCUAUCUGCCCCUGGAGACUCAAGUAGCUCCUAUUUGAGAAGAUGUCAUCUUCGUCACCGGUCUUCAGUGGGGAAGGUGGACAGAGGGCCUCUUUUGCGGCUCUCUUGGCCUCCUCCGUUAUGGCCAGUGGAGUCGUUUUAAAUUUAAUAGUUGCGUGAUUGACAAAUAGGCAUGGCCGCCCAUAUUUCUGUGAGAGGGUGAAGUUCUUAACCACAUAUGACUGCCCCUCUUCGAAUUCUGGGUCACUGCCAUUUCUGACCGACAGAUAUACUGUCUCCCCAUCACUGAGAGCACAUAAAGUGGUGAACUUAUAUGUGCCGACAUGUAUUUCAUUCCUUUCCCUCACAAAUGUCAAAGCCUUUUGGCUCCUGCAGGUGGCAACACACCUGAUGCGAAGUGGUGCUGGGCGGCUGUAAGGGGUUGUCAUCCUAAGAAUGAGACAAAAAAAGAAAAAAGGUAUUGUUUACAUUAAAAAAAAAAAGUUAUAUAUAUAUAUAUAAUACAACUUUUAUUGUAUGGACAUCAAAAAUUUUAAUCUGUGCUGUCACAGACUAUCAAACUGAGUCAUUCAGUAAACUCUGUCAAGAUAUCUUCGUAUUUUAAAAGUCGUUGAAAACAUAAGUUUGCAUCACAACAUCACUAUAUAUCUAUAUCACUAUUAUAUGACUAUUUAAAGGCUGUAAAGGUUUCAUGACGAUGAAAAAAUAGUGUGACAUGAUAUUUGGAUUAUUUUGACUGGAUAAAUUAUGACUUGUGAUUUCAUUAGGCCUAUGUUUCCACAUAAGUUAUCAGUAGACAUCAAAUUGCAUCAGUGACUGUUAAAAGGUUAUGAAGAUAUGAUGGCAGUAAUGACAGGAUAGAGCUUUUCAUCUCCACAGGAUCUUGUCUCUGAUGGGAUUCCUUUUUUUUUUUUUACUUUAUACUCUGACAGGAUUUUCUCUCGUUUUUUAACUUCAUACUUCACAGAAAUGUAUUUAUUCGUUCAUGUAAUUGAGCUAUUUAUUGAAAUUUAUUGAUAACAUUUCUUGUGAAGUAAAGAUUUACCUCAGAAAAUGAUUAUCUUUAUAAUCUUUUAAAAAUCAUUAAUGUAAUUUGAAAUAAGUUUUAAAAAAUGGCUUCAGAAAAUACUUUUUCCAGUCAGAAACCCUUUUCUCAGACCAAAUCCUGUCAGAAUGUUUUAUUAUAUUACAGUCUCUGUUAUCAGCCUAUCCUGUCAUAUAAAGUUAGGCCCCUAUUACUUUAAUUUUAUUGGAAGAAUUUAUUUUGUAGUUGUAAAGUUAUAACGUUUAAACAUUGUUUGUAGAAAAGUAAAAAGUUACUCACCUCAGAAAAUAGGUGGUUUUUGUUGCUGCAGAGUGGUCAGUGGGUCAAGUGGUCUUAAACUUGGCAGCGGUCCAAUCAGAUUAUAUAUAUAUAUAUAUAUAUAUAUAUUAGAUAGUUAUAUUUUUAACUGACUGUCUGGCAUUAACUGACUUCUCAUUAUUUGCAUCUAUGCUAUCUCUGCAUUUCUCAAAAUGUAAUAUUAUUUUAUUAAGCACUUAACAUUAGAAUAACAUUUGUGUGCAGAACAUCUUAAUUUUUAUUUAUUUUUUUAGGUUGUGUUGUCCUUUUUCCUCCUCCCUACUGCCAAGUGGCCACCAGAACCUUCUUUUAAAGAUAAUUCAUAUAUAUGAGCUGUGCUGGCAAAAUGAGUCACAAUGAGCAAAUUUUCCAAAAUUAUAAAUUUUUUUUUUUCACAUUCUCAAUUAAAAGACCUUCAAAAAGAUGUAUGAUUUGUUAGGAAAUGACUGAGCUACACCCGUUUGAAGUCGAUAUAUAUUCAGCAGAGUAAAUUCUGAGAAAAACCGAGUUAAAGUUUUCUGAAAGUUUCAAAACAAAAUCACCAAGCAAUGGUGCAUCUUUUCCUUCAAUUCUUUUCUUAAUGAUUGUAACGAAUCCGGCCUCUGUGGUUCCCCCUGAUCGUCACCAGAGGUAUUGACUUCUCUCUCCGAACUCCAUUUCCCAUCAUCCCCGUACCAGGACUCUAAUGACUAGUCCACCUGAUGCUCAUCUAUGAGACUACUUAAGACACACACCCACCCCCAUUCAUCGUGAAGUCUUGUAUUGCCCCGGCUGACAUUUCUGAGUGUUCUUACCCUUCUCUGUUGGAUUAUUGUGUUUUGAGCAAGAAGUGAGCAGAGAAAAGGUACAAAUAAAGAUUAUUUUAGAUAUUUAAUUUAAUUUAAAUAUUUAAUAGCGAGGAGUGGAAUCGCUAGACGAGGGCUUAAUUAACAAAUUCUUUUGAAAACCUCAAAUUCGACCGAAAUCGAUAUUUUUUACUUUUUUUUUUUUUGUGUUAAAUUAGCCUGUGCGCAUUCUGACUCAUUUUGCCAGCACAGGUCACAUAUUCAUUUUCACCUCAUUAAUACUCAGAUACAAGUACACAGUGACUUUCUUCCAUGGUUUGUUCCUUUUUUUUUAUUUUGAUAACUGGAAUCACAAACAGUAUAUAUUUAUUUCUUUUCAUUUAUUUAGGGUUGAGGCUGCGUUGGCUGUCUGUGCAAGUAACACACGCACGACAUGUUAAUCAGACAUAUCUUUAUUUUGAAAUGUACAAUUCUAUAUGUUCUGUAGCUCUUACAUAGACAUUGCUGUCUUAGCCUUUAAUGUAUAUAAUAUAAUGAGAUAUGACACAUUUAGCUAUUAGUCAAAACUAUAAAGGUACUUUUUUUUUGAGGGGCUUUUGAAGUUCAUGUAAAUUGUUGAGUAAAAACAAGGUUUCGUAGCUUAAAUGAACAGCUUGAUUUGUGUGAGGUGAACAAAACUGCUGUCUUUUUUCCUGCAGUGGAUUGGACAUCUUUAUUUCCAUCAAUGUAAGAACUAUUUUUAAAUUUAUUGGGAUAGCAUCAUCAACCAAAAAUGCAGUUAAUUUCAUAAGAAUGUAAUUCAGCCAUAUGCAUUUUGUAUUUAUUUGUUAUUACAUUGUCCCCCCUAUGUACAGUAAGUAAGCAUUUUAUUAUAUUAGAAUUUAUUAUUUUAAUGAACUGCUUAGUAAAAAAAAUUUUAAAGUGCAAUUUUGUAUUCCUGUUUAAAGAAUGUUAUUAACUUGUUCUUUUCUGUGUGUGUGUGUGUCCUUUACUUUAUAUCCCUUUUUCACUCAAACCUUUAUCUUGCUUCAAUCUCUACCUCUCGCCCAUUCUAUUCUUUCUCUUCCAAAACAAAAACAAACUGCUGGCUGCUAAACCCCCAAACGCUGCUGCACUGCUUGCUGCU